UGGGGAAUCUUGGACAAUGGGCGCAAGCCUGAUCCAGCCAUGCCGCGUGAGUGAUGAAGGCCCUAGGGUUGUAAAACUCUUUCGCCAGGGAAGAUAAUGACUGUACCUGGUAAAGAAGCCCCGGCUAACUCCGUGCCAGCAGCCGCGGUAAUACGGAGGGGGCUAGCGUUGUUCGGAAUUACUGGGCGUAAAGCGCACGUAGGCGGAUCAGCCAGUCAGAGGUGAAAGCCCAGGGCUCAACCCUGGAAUUGCCUUUGAUACUGUUGAUCUGGAGUCCGGGAGAGGUGUGUGGAAUUCCGAGUGUAGAGGUGAAAUUCGUAGAUAUUCGGAGGAACACCAGAGGCGAAGGCGACACACUGGACCGGUACUGACGCUGAGGUGCGAAAGCGUGGGGAGCAAACAGGAUUAGAUACCCCCGUAGUCC
rnacentral:rRNA from 1 species